rnacentral:pre_miRNA from 1 species
AGGUUUGGUUGAGCAGCCAAGGAUGACUUGCCGGAAAUCUAUCUAUAGCAUUUUCUUUUCUUUUUAAUCCAUGCAUUUCCGCAUGUUUAGAUGUAUACAUAAUUAAAUACAAUUGCAUGUGCUGAGAAAAAAAAAAGUUCAUAUGGAUUUGAUGAAAUAGGAUAACUGCUGGUUGGGAGACCUAAUGUCCUUAUAAACCUUGAUAGAGAAGAGGUUAAUGUAGACGAGUAAAUCGGCAAGUUGUCUUUGGCUACAUCUCCGCCUCG